CCACAGCCAUCCUUAGCUGGAGAGUAACUCCAAAUGGUUCUGAACAACAUUAAUUGCAAAAUGAACACCUUAAAGAGUUCUGCACUACAAUCUUAACAGAGCACUCGCAAAUCUUAAAAACCAACGAUUCAUCAUCUGCUGGUUCAGUUACCACCUUCAACAUGUGGCAUAUCAAUCCUUACAUGCAAAUAUAGUAUAGCUAAGCACAGAGUGAUCACAAGCACUUCCACGCCAGCUGACUAGGAUGUAAUCUAGCUUGCCAUGUCUUGCUCAAAAUACAGGUUAAGCUCAAUGUGGCAAACACUGGGCUUAGAAUCACUACCACACCACAAAAUGAGAUGGUAGCUAACAUUCCCCUCCAAUGUCUAAUGUACACAACGUGUUUCAUAAUCAAUCUCGCAGACACCGGAUCUAAAAUACUACAUCCGUAUAACUCAUACCUCAGAAAGAGCACUUCAAGCAUGAAAUCUGGCAGCUCAACCCUGUCCCCCUCAUCAAAAUCACCUCAUACACUAUGGACCUCGUACAUUGGCACCGGCAGCAUCAUCUACAAAAUGUAUCAACCAUUCACUUGGUUAUCAGUUGAACAAUGACAUGUCUUUUCAAAUUGUCUUUGCAUAAAAUAAUUUUGUCUACUGAAGCUUGUAGCCGAGCACUUCAUAGCUCAUAAUCAUAUUCAUAAGUUCGUAGUCCAGGCUAUACGAGCUAUACAUCAGUGCCAGUUGUAAAACCCCGGAUCGCUAGUGUAAACUUUGAUUUGUACAAAAGACAGUAAGACAUUUCUUGGUCAAUCACCACAAACCGCAAGUCAAAGACGUGGUGCCACCUGAUCUGUCAACUAUCAAACAUCCGACCUUCCUUGUAAUGAUCAGCCGCGACACACGAAUCCACUGUCAACAGCCCGUUUGGUCCGAACUCCCUCACGAAGUCUUCUCCUGAUAGGACCACAAGAUUAUUAUUUUUUAGAUCAGAGCGCCACUAGGACCACAAGAUAUAGACCUAUAUGCUCGAACCACUUCUUGCGCGUGUCGAUGGUAGACACACAAGUUAACAAUUGCAAACGCUGUACUAACAACACUCAAACUUAACUUACUUGCUAAGUUCUCUGGAAGUGUAUGACAACAUCCUGUCAUAGAAAGUAGCAUGUCUCUUGUGUUUGGCUCUUCAUCCUUCAAACCAGCUUUUCCUCAGAACUUAUCACCCAUCUCACCCUUCACGAUGUCCUGACCAUGCCUAUCUGCAACCUUAGGUUACUCCUCAUCCAGCCUGACACCACGCACAAUCCCCUACCCACUUCAUCCUCAUGCUCAUGGAUGUCGGCAAAGAACUAUGUUAACUGAAUGCAAAGAUAACUCAAUUUUUAGAACAAAGCGAAAUGACAGAUGAUAACCUGAUUGUCUAGCAACAUCAUUGCGGUCAUAUUGCAUCAAGGCUUCAGGCACAUCGCAAGGUGUCCCAUCCCCUGCAAAUUCAAAAUGUUGCAGCAAAAUUUCAAUGAUCUCACAACACUCGGUCAGUCCAUCUGAAUGAUCUCACAACCUGUCACUGCAUUGUUGACACAACAACUCUUUUUCUGCCCCCUCGUACCCCUCCCAGAGCCAGCAUCAGCACCUGAUUUGCACAUAAUAUAUUUAAUAUCCCAGAGACGUAAGCGGGCCUCCAACACAUGGAAAUGACCUGGGUACAUUAUUAGUGCCAAUACCUCCACUAGUAUGAUUACUACCACGGGUUACUUGCCUCAAACUCUCUCCUGCUUCUCUAACUGUGGAUUAUCUCGCCAAAUUCAGUGAAAGCGAAUGAUUAUGACUCUCUCUAUGCUUAAUGUACUCCCUUUGUAAAGAAAUAAUAUAUUUCUUUACAGAGGAGUAUCAAACAUUGUCCUCUGCUUGUAAAAGUCUUUAUCAGAGCCAGACAUUCGCAAUGGCAAGACCUUCUGCUCUGAACACCAGCUUUACCCU
rnacentral:lncRNA from 1 species